rnacentral:lncRNA from 1 species
ACACGGCAAUGGGCGUCUUUCCUUGGGCUGCGUGUGCAGAGCGUAGACAAUGAAAAUCUCCAUCCCCCUCCCCCAUCCCCGCUAGACUACAAGAUUUUUCUUUUCGUUCCUUAUCAACGGUGGAAGAUGUGCAAAAUCAAAUACACAGAGCUGUGCAUUUAUUUUUAAAAUAAAUAAAGCAAACGGGCUGAGACGCGGAUUACCCAAACGCGCACCGGCUGGGCGCGUUGCGGGGUCUCUGCGUUAGACCGGUUCUCAGCGGUUUCUGCAGCCACAGCCUGGCUCUACGCCUCCCCCCGGGCCGCGGGGGCGGAGAAUCCUCCCUUCCUCGGACACUGGAGCCGGAGCGGACCUUGCCCUCCCGCGGACCGCGCGGUAGGGGACGCCGAGAAAAGAGCCCCUGCGCCCGCCGCCUCCGGCCCGCCGCGCAGAGGGCUCCGCCCGUAGAGGUCAACUCCCCUCACCCUUUCGGCUCUCCUGAUCGCCCUCCCUCCGCCCGGCCCAGGCUCCGCCAGCCUCCCGACUCGGGCCGCAGUCUGAGGAGUGCGCCUCCGCUGCGCUGCUCUGAACCUUAACCCCGAGCCGGGCCCAGACCCGAGGUCCGCGCACCCCGGCGGUGGGGAAGCCUUAGCGAGCAGCCUUUUCUCUGCAGCAAAGCUGUAGGAAGACCAGAUGGGCCGCGCAGCUCUCUCGGGACUAGGCAGGAAAAAUGGAAGAGAACUAACUAAAAGAGCUUCUCCAUUGUCCAAGAGAUGCUGCCCAGCAUGAAGAGCAUGAACCAAUAUUUACCAUUCAAAUCUGUUUCCAAUUUAUAGACGUGAACAGUGACUCUCCAUAAUACGAAGGAGAAAAUAUCCUGGGAGCUAGUUUAAAAAUUUAGGUUUUUAGGUCCCAUCCUCGGAGAUUCAGUUUCAGUAGGCAGGUCUGAGACGCAUUUAAAGAAGCAGCACAACUGGUUCUGAUGUGAUUGAUCUACAUUCUGAGGAAUUCUGGAUCAGCUCUCCAAGCAUCUCUGUAGCUCUACACUUUAUGGUUAUGAAUGAAAAUAAAUUAAUAAUUUUAAGAUAAUGAAUCUGAUCACUAGGAAAGCAGAGCCAGAAAGAAUUGAAAUUUGCGGCAAAUCUUAGUUAUGACAAGGGGAGGAAGUCUGGAUUCUACAAGAAGCAACGCCAAGUAGUUAUGUUGCGAGCCACACGGGAAGUCCAUGGAUUCUUCAAGAAGUAAAUGCCAAGAUGGAAUUAAAUGUACAAUGUCUUUAUUAGGGAAAAUGCCUGUGUGAGAGAAAACAGUGGGCAGCAGGUUUUACAGCUUGGCAAACUGUCAGACAGCAGGGCUGGUCCAACCUCCAAUAAAAAGAGAAGGGAAGGUGGGCUGCGGUGUCCUAGAAUAAAAUUCCAUCUAAGGAAGGUUUGUCAAGGUCACCUGGAAGUCGUUGAACCAGCUGGCCAUCAGAAGAGUCUAGGUCUUCCAAAAAGAUGCCUGCUCUGGGAUCCUUCCUACAGCUAGUCAGAGGCUAGGAGCCUCUGGACACAAUGAUGGAUUUUAGAGCAUAGGUGCUGGGUCCCUUGGUUAAUCACUGUAGUUGGAGGUGCUGGGUCCCUCCCUCCCUGUAGUUGUAGGACUCUGAGGUGUAUUCUCAUAACUGCCACAGAGGUGAAUCAUCAUUAAUAAAAAUGAUUGUUAAUCAAAAGUCAUUUUUAAUAAAAGUGAGUCAGUUGCUAGGAAAUGUAACCAAAAUUUAUCAUCACAUUAAAGAAAACCCAUAAUUGAUAUGAACAGGAUCAGCAAUCAAAGAUGAGGGUGAUUCAAGAGGUAUAAAAAUAACUACCUUGCUCCCAAAAUAUACGAGUUAGAAAAGGCUAGGUUACACUGUGAUGAUGAACCACCCCCAAACCUCAUUGGUUUAAAACAACAAAGGUUGGUAUCUUACUCCAACUACAAGCCUGGUAUAGGUUAGAAGAAGGACUCUGUUCAUAUUUUUGUCCCAGGAAGUCCAACAAUGGAAGCUUUGCUAUCUAAAGAUGGCAACCUUUCAAACAUGUGAACUUCUGCAACAGUAUUUCAGGGAAAGAGGUGGCUGGAGAUUCAAGUACAGGCAGGUGUUUUGACCCAAAAGUUAUAAACAUCACUUCCAUUCAAUUUUAUUGGCUAGAACUUGUCACGUGGCCAUUCAAAGAAUUGGAAUUUUCCUUGUAUCUGGAAAUGGAAGAUAGGAGAUACUGGCAAAUAAUGGUGCUUACCAAAAUAAGACUUCUUGCAAUCCUAUCACUUGUACAUCGUGGCUGAUUACCCCAUCUCUAAGAGUCCUUGAAUUCAGGAAUUUAGUGUGACUGAAUCUCAAGCUGUGUUCAGAUUUUUUGCAUUUUUGCAUUUUUGAAGGCAGUUAGGUAUGGUGGAUAGGGCAUACCCACAGAGUCAAGGACCCUCAGUAUAAAAAAUAGUCUCUUUCUCUGAACUACUGUAUGAUUUUGGACAUUCAUCUUACCUUUCUGGGCUCUUAUUUUCUCACUUAAAAAAUAAAAGGACGGAAUUAGGUAACUAA